CACGUAGGGGGCAAGCGUUGUCCGGAAUCACUGGGCGUAAAGGGCGCGUAGGCGGCGCGAGCAGUCGAUCGGGAAAGUCCGGAGCUCAACUCCGGAUCGGCGGUCGAUACUCUCGUGCUUGAGCACUGUAGAGGCAGAUGGAAUUCCGGGUGUAGCGGUGGAAUGCGUAGAGAUCCGGAAGAACACCGGUGGCGAAGGCGGUCUGCUGGGCAGUUGCUGACGCUGAUGCGCGCCAGCGUGGGGAGCAAACAGG
rnacentral:rRNA from 1 species